rnacentral:rRNA from 1 species
GACGAACGCUGGCGGCGUGCUUAACACAUGCAAGUCGAACGGAAAGGCCCUGCUUUUGUGGGGUGCUCGAGUGGCGAACGGGUGAGUAACACGUGAGUAACCUGCCCUUGACUUUGGGAUAACUUCAGGAAACUGGGGCUAAUACCGGAUAGGAGCUCCUGCUGCAUGGUGGGGGUUGGAAAGUUUCGGCGGUUGGGGAUGGACUCGCGGCUUAUCAGCUUGUUGGUGGGGUAGUGGCUUACCAAGGCUUUGACGGGUAGCCGGCCUGAGAGGGUGACCGGCCACAUUGGGACUGAGAUACGGCCCAGACGCCUACGGGAGGCAGCAGGGGGGAAUAUGGCACAAUGGGCGGAAGCCUGAUGCAGCAACGCCGCGUGCGGGAUGACGGCCUUCGGGUGGUAAACCGCUUUCGCCUGUGACGAAGCGUGAGUGACGGUAAUGGGUAAAGAAGCACCGGCUAACUACGUG